rnacentral:rRNA from 1 species
ACUCCUACGGGAGGCAGCAGUGGGGAAUAUUGCACAAUGGGCGCAAGCCUGAUGCAGCCAUGCCGCGUGUGUGAAGAAGGCCUUCGGGUUGUAAAGCACUUUCAGUCGUGAGGAAGGCGGGUACGUUAAUAGCGUAUUCGUUUGACGUUAGCGACAGAAGAAGCACCGGCUAACUCCGUGCCAGCAGCCGCGGUAAUACGGAGGGUGCGAGCGUUAAUCGGAAUUACUGGGCGUAAAGCGCAUGCAGGUGGUUUUGUUAAGUCAGAUGUGAAAGCCCGGGGGCUCAACCUCGGAAUAGCAUUUGAAACUGGCAGACUAGAGUACUGGUAGAGGGGGUUAGAAUUUCAGGUGUAGCGGUGAAAUGCGUAGAGAUCUGAAGGAAUACCGGUGGCGAAGGCGGCCCCCUGGACAGAUACUGACACUCAGAUGCGAAAGCGUGGGGAGCAAACAGGAUUAGAUACCCUGGUAGGACAGUG